UACGGAGGAUCCGAGCGUUAUCCGGAUUUAUUGGGUUUAAAGGGUGCGCAGGCGGGAGAUUAAGUCGGCGGUGAAAUUUUGCAGCUCAACUGUAAAAGUGCCUUCGAAACUGGUUUCCUUGAGUGUGGAUGAAGUAGGCGGAAUUUGUGGUGUAGCGGUGAAAUGCAUAGAUAUCACGAGGAACUCCGAUUGCGCAGGCAGCUUACUAAACUACUACUGACGCUCAUGCACGAAGGCGUGGGGAUCAAACAGGAUUAGAUACCCG
rnacentral:rRNA from 1 species